rnacentral:rRNA from 1 species
UACCAGCACCCCGAGUGGUCGGGACGAUUAUUGGGCCUAAAGCAUCCGUAGCCGGUCAUGCAAGUCCUCCGUUAAGUCCACCUGCUUAACAGAUGGGCUGCGGAGGAUACUACAAGGCUAGGAGGCGGAAGAGGCAAGCGGUACUCAGUGGGUAGGGGUAAAAUCCUCUGAUCCAUUGAAGACCACCAGUGGCGAAGGCGGCUUGCCAAUACGCGCUCGACGGUGAGGGAUGAAAGCUGGGGGAGCAAACCGG